AGAGCGAACGCUGGCGGCAGGCCUAAUACAUGCAAGUCGAACGAGCCCUUCGGGGCUAGUGGCGGACGGGUGAGUAACACGUGGGAACGUGCCUUUUGGUUCGGAACAACUCAGGGAAACUUGAGCUAAUACCGAAUGUGCCCUUCGGGGGAAAGAUUUAUCGCCAUUAGAGCGGCCCGCGUCUGAUUAGCUAGUUGGUGAGGUAAAGGCCCACCAAGGCUACGAUCAGUAGCUGGUCUGAGAGGAUGAUCAGCCACACUGGGACUGAGACACGGCCCAGACUCCUACGGGAGGCAGCAGUAGGGAAUCUUGCGCAAUGGGCGAAAGCCUGACGCAGCCAUGCCGCGUGAAUGAUGAAGGUCUUAGGAUUGUAAAAUUCUUUCGAGCGGGGACGAUAAUGACGGUACCGCAGAAGAACGCCCGGCUAACUUCGUGCCAGCAGCCGC
rnacentral:rRNA from 1 species